rnacentral:rRNA from 1 species
AACGUAGGAGGCAAGCGUUAUCCGGAUUCACUGGGCGUAAAGCGCGUGCAGGUGGCGCGGUAAGUUGGGUGUGAAAUCUCCCGGCUCAACUGGGAGAGGUCAUUCAAUACUACCGUGCUUGAGAGCAGAAGAGGAAGAUGGAAUUCCCGGUGUAGUGGUGAAAUGCGUAGAUAUCGGGAGGAACACCAGUGGCGAAGGCGAUCUUCUGGUCUGUUUCUGACACUCAUACGCGACAGCUAGGGUAGUAAACGGGAUUAGAGACCCCGGUAAUCCUAGCCGUAAACGAUGUGAACUUGGCGUUGGUGGGUUAAACUCCAUCAGUGCCGCAGCAAACGCGAUAAGUUCACCGCCUGGGGACUACGGCCGCAAGGUUAAA